GGAAGCGUGGCAGAGCGGUUUAAUGUACCGGUCUUGAAAACCGGAGUCCGUUUACGCGGACCAGAGGUUCGAAUCCUCUCGCUUCCGCCA
rnacentral:tRNA from 2 species